AACCGGAUUAGAUACCCUGGUAGUCCAUGCCGUAAACGAUGUCUACUAGCCGUUGGGGGAUUUGAUCCUUUAGUGGCGCAGCUAACGCGAUAAGUAGACCGCCUGGGGAGUACGGUCGCAAGACUAAAACUCAAAUGAAUUGACGGGGGCCCGCACAAGCGGUGGAGCAUGUGGUUUAAUUCGAUGCAACGCGAAGAACCUUACCUGGCCUUGACAUAGUAGAGACUUUCCAGAGAUGGAUUGGUGCCUUCGGGAAUCUACAUACAGGUGCUGCAUGGCUGUCGUCAGCUCGUGUCGUGAGAUGUUGGGUUAAGUCCCGCAACGAGCGCAACCCUUUUCCUUACUUGCCAGCAUUUCGGAUGGGAACUUUAAGGAUACUGCCAGUGACAAACUGGAGGAAGGCGGGGACGACGUCAAGUCAUCAUGGCCCUUACGGCCAGGGCUACACACGUGCUACAAUGGUCGGUACAAAGGGUUGCUACACAGCGAUGUGAUGCUAAUCUCAAAAAGCCGAUCGUAGUCCGGAUCGCAGUCUGCAACUCGACUGCGUGAAGUCGGAAUCGCUAGUAAUCGCGGAUCAGAAUGCCGCGGUGAAUACGUUCCCGGGCCUUGUACACACCGCCCGUCACACCAUGGGAGUUUGUUGCACCAGAAGUAGGUAGUCUAACCGCAAGGAGGACGCUUACCACGGUGUGGCCGAUGACUGGGGUGAAGUCGUAACAAGGUAACC
rnacentral:rRNA from 1 species